GACAGAGGUCCCGAGCGUUGUUCGGAUUCACUGGGCGUAAAGGGUGCGUAGGUGGCAGUGUAAGUCUGAUGUGAAAGCUUCGAGCUUAACUCGAAAAUGGCAUUGGAUACUAUAUUGCUGGAGGUUUGGAGGGGGGACUGGAAUUCUCGGUGUAGCAGUGAAAUGCGUAGAUAUCGAGAGGAACACCGGUGGCGAAGGCGAGUCCCUGGACAACACCUGACACUGAGGCACGAAAGCUGGGGGAGCGAACGGG
rnacentral:rRNA from 1 species